CACAAAAGGAAACACGUCUACGUGCCGCUGGCCCUUCUUCAGCUGUGUGGUUAGAGGUCCCCGAUUUAUUUUCCACAGUUAGCAGCUGGCCUUCUCCCAACUUCUCUCCCAGUUCUCCUUGGACGGCCUGCUGCUGGCUGGGCAGGGCAGUCUGGCGGAGCUGCCUGAGGGCACCCCUUCCUCUGCUGGGAUCCCCGAAGAGUUCAGGCCUCUUGGUUACUGGGCUGCACGGGGCUGAUUAUCAAGCUCUUCACGGGGACACAGGGGCCCAGGCCUGCAUGCAGGAUGAGGAGGAAGGCCCAGAGAUGCCUUUGCAAGCCUCUGCUGUGCUCUUCGGGCAAGUCAUUCCAACUCCUAGGCCUCGGCUUCCUCAUCUGUUAAAUCCCUCAUCGGGCACUCUACCGCCUGAGGGCCGUGGACCUAGAGGCCAGUGUGGCUGUUCAGCUACGUGUACUGGGACCCAUCUGAGCCAGCCUCUGGGCCUCACCCUACGGGGGCUUCCAGCACAGCGAGAACCUCCUCUGUGCUCAGUGCUGUGCUUGGGACUGAGGGCUUAAUGAGAAGCAGGGCAGAUGUAUUCCUUCCCUCCUGGAGGAGCUCCUGGUUAAGAUGAGAAGGCUGAUGAGCAAACAGGCCAUCCCAAAACACUGAUCCGCGCCUGGAGAGAAGAGAUGCACGGGCUGCGAGAGCAGAGAGGAAGGCUUCUGCCUCAGAUCCCAGGGGAGGUGGAGCAGAGAGCUGCAGGAUGAUGAGUGGGCUGGGCAGAGAGGCCUAGAAGGAGAAGAGAGCAUCCCAGAACGGGAGUGGGGGUUGUUCUUUUCAGUGGGUGAAGAUCAGGCAGGAGGCACAGUGGUGGCAGGGGCUAGAUCUCACGUGUUGUGCUGUGUACAUUAAGGAAUUAUCUGGAGGGCACUGGGAAGCCUUUGAAAGCCUUUAAGCAAGGGUUGUAAGGGAUCCGAUUUGUGUUUUGGAAAAAUCCCUUUAGUGCAGGUGGAAAUCAGGUUGGAGAGCAUCUGAGGGAAGUCCUGUACCAGGUUCAGCUCCAGGGCAGGGAGGAGCACCUCUUGGACACAAGCCCUAUAAAGGCAGGAUGGUGGCCUUAUUCUUGCUGUUACCCCUCAGCGCCCAUUGGGGAGUGUUGCCCAAGUCCUGCUAAGGGAGGCCAUGUGGGGUCCUGGGCGAUGGCUGGUCUUCUUGCCCACAGAGUCCCUUGUUCUUGCUGAGGUGCAGCCACUGUGAUGGUGACAUAGCUCUCUGGCACCAUCAGGGAAACAUGAGGGCCUCCAUUCUGGGUGAAGGCUGCCAGGAGAAGGUAGGGAACCUCUUGGAGGAGGCAGGAAAGAGCCGGGUCUCAGAGAAGGAGCCUCUUUGGAUUUAUCCAUUAAUGCCUGCAUCUCCUCGCCCCAGGUGAUUCAUUUGGCCUUUAAGAGUAAAAUGCAUGUGGUUCCCAUGCCCUAGUAGGGUGGGUGUUGGGAGGGAGGUAGCUUAUCCCGGACUAAGCCCAGCAUGUGAGGAGGGCAGAUGGAC
rnacentral:lncRNA from 1 species